rnacentral:tmRNA from 3 species
GGGGCUGAUUCUGGAUUCGACGGGAUUUGCGAAACCCAAGGUGCAUGCCGAGGGGCGGUUGGCCUCGUAAAAAGCCGCAAAAAAUAGUCGCAAACGACGAAAACUACGCUUUAGCAGCUUAAUAACCUGCUUAGAGCCCUCUCUCCCUAGCCUCCGCUCUUAGGACGGGGAUCAAGAGAGGUCAAACCCAAAAGAGAUCGCGUGGAAGCCCUGCCUAGGGUUGAAGCGUUAAAACUUAAUCAGGCUAGUUUGUUAGUGGCGUGUCCGUCCGCAGCUGGCAAGCGAAUGUAAAGACUGACUAAGCAUGUAGUACCGAGGAUGUAGGAAUUUCGGACGCGGGUUCAACUCCCGCCAGCUCCACCA